rnacentral:rRNA from 2 species
CUUGGUGCUUUUAGCGGAGUGGAGAUACCCGAUCCCAUCCCGAACUCGGUAGUCAAGCACUCCAGCGCCGAUGGUAGCUCUUCGGAGCAAGAGUAGGUCGGCGCCAAGA